UAUGAAAUGGAUUUAAAUUUUGGAAAGGAAGAAACCUAGCUAGCCCUCUUACUGUUACAUUAUGAACAGGCAAGUCAAUCAAAAGAAGUUAACCAUGCUGUUUGCCAACUCUUAUCAGACCAAUCUGAUACUGCGUACACAAGACUAUGUGGAUGUGGAGUUUAUAAGUCUCUGGAACAGUUAUAGUGGUAGCCAAGCUAAAUGACGUAGACAUAUAUGCACAUUCAACGCAGACAUGAUUCACAUCAUAAGGGUUGACAAAGUUCAUGUAACUGACUGAAUUUGAGCAAUAUGGUAUCAAUUCAUAAACAGCAUGAUACAUUAAACAUGGAGGGGGAUGGGAGAGACAAAGGAGUCAAAGAAGUGGUCAUAUCCUUGAUGGUUUGACGUCGCCUCCAGUUCAUUUCCUCAUCUUCCACCUCUACUGCACUGUCCACAAGG